ACUUUUUAUAAAGUGGACAGCAAGGUUGGCAGCCCGAACGGCCAUAACUUCUUUGUUUUAAAAUAUUUUUGAGUCGUUCAAAAUCUCACGCGUUCGUAACUUCUGUCUCUACAAACUCUUAUUUAUAUCACAAUCUAGUCUAAAAUUCCUUACAGAACUGGACCCAAAAUGGCUCUAAAGGGACUGCUUUAAAACUAUUUUAUAUUUCUCUAACCAAAUUGAUAAAACAUGAUACCCCAUGUAUUAAUAUGAUAGGAUAACAUAUCCUAACACUCGAUAACACUUCAUAACAUUAAAAUAAUAAAAUCAUAAGCCUACUUAUAUAGGAUUUAUGACUUUUGCUCAAGAACACACGAAGAAUGGAAAAAAAAUCGUACAUGGUAACGACUUAUGUUCAUGAGCUUAUAGACUAAUAAAAUGAACGAAAAAUAAACAUAAUAACGACUAGGUAUUUUUACCUCUUGAAGUGCUAGCUUUUCGAUACUUGAAAACGCAAGACUUUAGCUUUCCUUCAUUCUCUCGAUUACCAAUUUAACUCUCUUAUGAUUACUCUAGCAUCUUUUGCUCUUGAAUUACUUGUGAAUAUGUGAAGAUUUAUUAAGAAUGAGGGUUCUAUUUAUAGGAAACCAAGACUUACGAUAUUUAGGACCUUAAGCCACCCCACAAUGACUAGUCACUAUAGUGAGUCACAUAGUUCAUCAUUGAUGAGUCACAAAGCCUAAUCACCCAUGUGCCACAACACACCACACAAUUUUGGGCAACACAUUUUAGGAAACAAAGUCUCAUUUGUCAACUAAUUAAUCAAAGAAAAAACUAUACAUACAAAAGCCAUAUGCAUAUAAGCUUUCCUAAAUGGCCAUAAUACCCUCACUUUCUCUACAACUUAACCAAAUUCCACCUAGUUUGGUUAAUCCAACUUAGUUUACUUUCUAGUUAGUCGUCUAGUUAGGUUUCCUAACUAAUCCAAUUAGUCAAAAAUGUAGACUUUCCAAAGUUGCCCUCACUUUCUUCUUUUCUUUAUUUUAGUUAGUUUAAUUAUUUGUCUAGCUAAUUUCUUUAAUCUAGGAUGAAGAUGAAAUUAAAUAAUUAUUCUUGAUAAUAUUUUUCAUCUCUUCUAUUAUUUACAUUUUUAUGUUUAAUUGAUUUCGCCUUCAUGUUUCGUUAGUGAAAUACAUUCGUUUUAUAGUUCUUAUGUGAUUUUAAAUUAAUUAAGAGGCUUUGAUAGAUAGUUAAGAUAUGAGUUUUUCAUAAUCCAUGAUUGCUUAAAGAAGUUUUGAUGGGUUAUAGUUAAUCCUUAAAUUUUCAUAGUCUAUGCUUGCCCACGUUAAUUGUAAAUUACUAAAUUAAAGGGAAGGGAGAUCAAAAUCAUAUUUGAGUUAUAAAAAUAGACGAGAUUGAAUUAUAUGUUAUGUUUAUUAUUUAAUGGAUUUGAAUUCCUAAAUUGUUUCCGCAUUAUUUGUUUUCAUAUUCUAGUUAAUCAAUUCUCAAUCUUUAUUUCUAAUUCGCCUAAAAUAGAUAUUAAGGAAACAUUAAAAUUAAUCUAGUCUCUGUGGGUUCAACAUGUACUUGCCCGUUAUUCAAUUCGACACUGUGUACUUGCAGUACAUAAUUUUAACACAUCAUAUAUAACUGAAACAAGUAGAGUAGAAGAGAAUAAUACCUGAAACAAGUGAUUAAUCACUUAAAAUUGUUAAGUUGCAGGUUCGGCAGUAAAACAGAGCCUCCGUGAUGGCUUUUGCUAUUGCUUUAGAGCUGGAAUCUAUUGUAGUUGUUGGUGUUUCUGGGCGGGUUGGGCGGAUUUUAGAUUAUGUUUGAAGAGUAGAAGAGGUUAAAAGAGAUAGAAUUCAGACCAAUUUAUUAUAAGAGAUGAAAUUAGAAGUUGAAGGUAGAAGAAAACAAAGGACUAGUAGGAAGAAUAUGAACAUUUUGGAGAGAACUUGAGCUCUCAUACCAAUUUGUCAGGCCCAGAUAGGAUUCUGACCAGAAAUAGAGAUAGAAACA
rnacentral:lncRNA from 1 species